AUAAAGAUACGUUGGGAGGAAGCCGACAGGAGCAAGAUGGAGGAGUAGGGAUAGGGCUGAGGAUAAGCUUUACGGAGUGGCUGAGGGAAGGAGGGGUAUGGAUAGGAUGCUGGAAAGAUUCCACGAAGAGGUUGAGCGUCAGAGUUGCGUUUGGACACUAUCACAUCGGAUGCAGUAAACACCGAAACGGGACCAAUUUGAUCUGAUGCUGCGUUGGGAUGACUGUGAUCUCAUCUCCUCAUCUUUAUCUUCCGGCUUGAGACAUUAGAUGAUUGUUGGUAUGUGGUCUCAUUCUCCAUUUUUCGGCUCUUUGUGCUGGUCCUGAUUUCUAAAAAGAAA
rnacentral:lncRNA from 1 species